AGGCCCCUUUAAGUACUGAAAGACCACAAUAAGGUCUCCCUGGAGUCUUCUUCAGGUUGAACAAACCCAGCUCUCCCAGCCUUUCCUCACAGGAGAGUGUUCUAUCCCUCUGAUCAUUUUUGUGACCCUCCUCUAGACCCUCUCCAGCAGGUCCAUAUAUCUCCUGUAUUGAGGACUCCGGAGCUGGUCACAGUACUCCAGCUGUCUCUUUUUCAAAACCUGCUCACCAGGAUACUGUACUUCAGGGUGCAGUAUACAUGCUGUAGGGAUGGUUUGAAUUACAUGUCAAAAGCCUCACGAGAGAAUCAUUUGUCAGGAAAACCUUUGUCUGGAAUGUCUCAAAACUAAACCUGCACAUUCUCUCGCUGACUGUCAAGAGGACCACAAAUCUCUACAAGUCUAAGAAGUCUUUUAGUACAAAGAUAGAUCCAAUUCUGUUGACCAAUGGCACUACCUCAUUCACCUCUGGGUUUAUAUCACUUACCAAACAAAAGGGGAAAAAAACCACAUUUGCCAAAGUUCUUUAUGUAAUUGUGGGACAGCUCCACACGUUAUCUAAAUCUAUCCCAGUCAUACCUGUUCAAUUAGAAGCUAGACAAAUCCUUGAAUAAAAAUGUUCAUUUUAGAUACCAUAUCAGGUUAACUGAUACUGAGUGACUAAUCACCUUGGAUUUCAUUGUGAUCAGUACUUAAAUUUUACAGGGUUUUCUCAUGGAAAGUCAAGAAACAUGAUAAAGAAUGUACAGAAGUGCCUCAACUUAAAAGGAAUCAUCGGUGCUUCAUACUUUAUUGCACAGAGCUCAACAGCACCCGAAAGUUGGCCAUCCAGGGCUGCACCAGGAAGCCACUCUCCUCAUUUGCACCCACCUUGAGCACUGGGCACCACAGAGGACAGUGGUAGACCUUGUGGCAUCCACAUAGUAGCCAAUGCUCAGACAUCACUGGGUGGGUCUGACCAUUAAGCACCUGGCAGGCACUUUUAGAGCUCUGUAGUCAGCUGUUCCUGAUCUAGCAUACCUAUCAUUUAGUAAAGUUUACUAUAAACUCUCCAGUCACCUGUCCUGCAUGUGGAAUCAGGGCUGCUAAAACUGCAUUUUCCCUUGAAGCACCAACUAUGCAAACAGCAGCAGAAGAGGCAUAUUUUUCAUGCUACCAAAAAAAAAACAAAA